rnacentral:piRNA from 1 species
UGUGCACAAACAAGCUUUGUAUUCUGCAC